UACAGAGGUCUCAAGCGUUUGUUCGGAUUAUUGGGCGUAAAGCGUGCGUAGGCGGCGGGGUAAGUGAGGUGUGAAAUCCCGGAGCUUUAACUCCGGAACUGCACUUUAUACUGCCUUGCUCGAGGGCUGGAGAGGAGACUGGAAUUUACGGUGUAGCAGUGAAAUGCGUAGAGAUCGUAAGGAAGACCAGUGGCGAAGGCGAGUCUCUGGAAAGCUGCUGACGGCUGAGGCACGAAGGCCAGGGGAGCAAAACGGGG
rnacentral:rRNA from 1 species